rnacentral:lncRNA from 1 species
AAUUUCCCUAUGGUCUUCUGACAGCAAGAUGUCAACUGUCCUCCCUGUUCUGAUAGAUUGCAUAGGAUGCUGCUUCCAGAUUCAAAGAAACAAUGGACAGAAGUCACAAAGAUCAACCUCUGGUUGCAUCAGAAAGUUAUACUCCCGGUGCCACAAGCAGUUACACCCAACAGAAAAAAUGGAGGAAUUCCAGGCAGAGCUGCCCAGCAUCACAGGAGAAACAGAGGCUCCAACUGGCUCCAUCGUAAGUGCCUUUUAUUAUCUGAGAUCAAAGCAUAACUUCAUUUCCUCAAUUUUUCUUUUUUCUUGUUGCUUCUCUCUCUCUCUCUCUCUCUCUCUCUCUCUCUCUCUCUCUCUCUCUCUCUCAGGGCC